rnacentral:rRNA from 1 species
AGUGAAUAGAUACCCCGGUAGUCCCAGCCGUAAACGAUGCUCGCUAGGUGUCAGGCAUGGCGCGACCGUGUCUGGUGCCGCAGGGAAGCCGUGAAGCGAGCCACCUGGGAAGUACGGCCGCAAGGCUGAAACUUAAAGGAAUUGGCGGGGGAGCACAACAACGGGUGGAGCCUGCGGUUUAAUUGGACUCAACGCCGGACAACUCACCGGGGGCGGACAGCAAUAUGUAGGCCAGGCUGAAGACCUUGCCUGAAUCGCUGAGAGGAGGUGCAUGGCCGUCGCCAGUUCGUACUGUGAAGCAUCCUGUUAAGUCAGGCAACGAGCGAGACCCGUGCCCACUGUUACCAGCAUAUUCUCCGGAAUGAUGGGUACUCUGUGGGGACCGCCGAUGUUAAAUCGGAGGAAGGUGCGGGCCACGGUAGGUCAGUAUGCCCCGGAAUCUCCCGGGGUCUACACGCGGGCUACAAUGGAUGGGACAAUGGGUCCCUACCCUGAAAA